UGGCGGACGGGUGAGUAAUGCAUAGGUAACGUGCCCCUUAGUCUGGGAUAGCCACUGGAAACGGUGAAUAAUACCGGAUACUCCUUCUCACUUAAUGUGAGUCGGGAAAGUUUUUCGCUAAGGGAUCGGCCUAUGUCCUAUCAGGUAGUUGGUGAGGUAAGAGCUCACCAAGCCUAUGACGGGUAGCGGGUCUGAGAGGAUGAUCCGCCACACUGGUACUGAGACACGGACCAGACUCCUACGGGAGGCAGCAGUGGGGAAUAUUGCACAGUGGACGAAAGUCUGAUGCAGCAACGCCGCGUGGAGGAUGACACAUUUCGGUGCGUAAACUCCUUUUAUAUGAGAAGAUAAUGACGGUAUCAUAUGAAUAAGCACCGGCUAACUCCGUGCCAGCAGCCGCGGUAAUACGGAGGGUGCAAGCGUUAUUCGGAAUCACUGGGCGUAAAGGGUGCGUAGGCGGUUUGGAAAGUCAGAUGUGAAAUCCUACAGCUUAACUGUAGAACUGCAUUUGAAACUUCCAGACUAGAAUACUGAAGGGGCAGAUGGAAUUAGUGGUGUAGGGGUAAAAUCCGUAGAUAUCACUAGGAAUACCGAAAGCGAAAGCGAUCCGCUGGGAAGUUAUUGACGCUGAGGCACGAAAGCGUGGGGAGCAAACGGGAUUAGAUACCCCGGUAGUCCACGCCCUAAA
rnacentral:rRNA from 1 species